ensembl:lncRNA
AUUAGGCCUUGCAAUGGUGGUUCUCAUGGGACUGGGUGUCACUGGCGCCCUGUGUCCUCCCCGUCCGGCACCACCAGAGGGCACAGGCACACCGGGCACGGCUGUCCCCCCCCACCCCGGUCCAUCCUGUCCUUCACCCCGCGUUCAAGGUUACUCCAGGUUUGCAGAGGGCUGUAAAUCAGGCCGACCCCUGAACGCACUGAGAUGAAUGUUUCUGGGAACCAACAAAGGAAGCGUUUCAGGUGCACGCAAGGGAAGGGGGGGAGGUGUGUGGAUGGCCUCUAAACUGCCCCCAAACUCUGCUAUUUCAAAGCUUUCAUGAUAAUUAGCAACCCUUCUUUAUGACAAAUAGAUCAGAACCGCUGGCCGUGGGAAAAUUUCAGUCAUUUUGGAAGUUUGGGUACCGUGGCCCUGCCAGGAAGAAGUCAAUAUCCUGGCACAGCUCUGAAGCUGCAUGUGACACUGAGGCACAGGCUCGGCAGCUGUGCCAAGCCAGCACAGUCCUUAUAGGAGCAGUCCCUGUGGUGCCACUGGUGCUGGAAGCCAAGAGGUCAGGUCUGCUGUUUAUCAUGUCGAUAUUUCCCUGUUUGAUUGAGGGCCACUGGAUUGAGCUGAACGAAGCUGAACGUUGACUUUAGCCCACCUAUGGAGAUAGGUGGACUUUGCACUGGCUUACAAAACAUCUGCAAGGACCAUCAGGAACCAAAACAGGCCCCCCGUGGGGUAAUUCCUCUGGUUGUAAAAGAGGAAUCGGACAGCAGAGCACAUUCCAGCCCUGCUUGCUUUGCAGCUCUAAUGAUACCCUUUGGAUUUUGGUCACCAUUUAAAUGCCACGGUUGCAUUCCUUUGACUUGUGGUCCAGCAGAAGGCUCGGUGUGCUGUUAUGUGCUUUGUGGUGAGGUCAGAGCUCAGAGGAUAGAGAGGGGCUAGCAGGGCUGAUGUGAGCCCUGGCAGACAGGCAUGGUGGACAAGGACAGCUCUUUGUCCUCAGUUGCCCCGGGUUGCUGUGCUAAUUCUGCUCUGCUAAUCAGCUCAGGGCCAGCUUAAGAUGCCUCACGACAAUGGGCACGCAUAUCAGUUACAGCUGAAAGGCCUUCGCUCUUUCUGCACGGAAAUGGUUUGUCCAUUGCCUUCAACGACCUCCCCAUUUGUCAGGCCACUUGCUGAAUGCCAGUUGAUAAAAGCGAUAAGGAAUGAGUGACAACUUAAACUUUCAGUCAAACAGAUGGCAGUGCGGUGAGAGUGGAAAAUAACGUUUCAGUGGGAAUUGCAGCAGUGCCCAACGGUCCCGUGAGUGGCUGACAAGAGUACUCUUAGGCAGACUAAGUGUUGGGUCUGUUGUGAUAGGACAAGGGGAAAUGGCUUCAAACUAAAAGAGAGAUGAUUUAGAUUGGACGUAAGGAAGAAGUUUUUUACGGUAAGGGCAGUGAGGCACCAGGAUGGGUCCAAAACUCUGCUACUGCAGCAUGUGUGCUGCUACACCGUGACUCUGCCCCCCACGUUUGCUUAUAGACAAGCCUUGGAGAAACACGUUUGUGAGAGCCUUUCAGAAAUUUGGGGAUAUUUAUAGAAGAUUUCAGUAGAACUUUUAAUGUUGUCCUAACCUUUCCCUUAGGAGCUGGUUACAGAGACAUAACGGAAAGGAAAUUGCUUCUUAAUCUCUCUUCCCCUUUCUGUGUGCGAUUCAGUUUCAUGCCUCAGAGUAGCCUGAUACAAGUUUUUGCUUCUGAUAGAGGGAUUUCUAGUCAUGCAGGCAGAAAUGAUAAUGGGUUGGAGAAAAGAAAAUUAAAAACCAACGUUUUCUUUGCUGUUCCCUCUUUUUUUUUUCGUGGGCCAGGAUCAAUAGCAGUGAACUUUGGCCUUGCAGCACUUGAAGGCAUCACUGAAAAUUGUGGCUUUUUUUGUGGUAAGACAUUUAGAACAAACACCUCCACCUCACAAAACCAAAAGCAACUGACCAACCAAAGAAAGCACCCCAAAUCCAGACCUGUUCCAGCUUAAACCAAUGGCACCAACGGAGCUCAAAGGAUGUGACGUUCAAGUGGGAAAUGAAGAAAGCAGAACGUAGGGGAUAAGAGGUGACCUGUCCAGCCAGGGUUGGAGACAGUUUCAUGCUGCAGUAUUCAAAGCCCAGACAUUUUAUUUCCAGGCAAAUUGUUGAUUUUUGUAGGGAUGUGAAAGGUGCAGUGCUGCUGGAAUGAACUAAUUGAGACCCAUGCACAGAGACUCUGGCUUUGUGCUGUCCACAAUGACAAUACCGCACAGUCACAGAAGAGGCAGUGCAGUAUGGUUCCUCUGUUUUACAUAAGGCCACUGCUCAACUCAACAGAUCUGAAUAACAACUGAAGUCAAUUAAAUUAACCAGAUAUGAAAAACAG